rnacentral:rRNA from 1 species
GCGGACGGGUGAGUAAUGUCUGGGAAACUGCCUGAUGAGGGGGAUAACUACUGAAACGGUAGCUAAUACCGCAUAACGUCGCAAGACCAAAGAGGGGGACCUUCGGGCCUCUUGCCAUCGGAUGUGCCCAGAUGGGAUUAGCUAGUAGGUGGGGUAACGGCUCACCUAGGCGACGAUCCCUAGCUGGUCUGAGAGGAUGACCAGCCACACUGGAACUGAGACACGGUCCAGACUCCUACGGGAGGCAGCAUG